rnacentral:rRNA from 1 species
GCCUACGACCAUAUCACCCUGAAUGCGCCCGAUCUCGUCUGAUCUCGGAAGCUAAGCAUAGCCGAGCCUGUUAGUACUUGGAUGGGAGACUGCCUGGGAAUACCAGGUGUUGUAGGCU